rnacentral:rRNA from 1 species
GAUGAACGCUAGCUACAGGCUUAACACAUGCAAGUCGAGGGGAAACGGCAUUAAGUGCUUGCACUUUUUGGACGUCGACCGGCGCACGGGUGAGUAACGCGUAUCCAACCUUCCCAUGACUAAGGGACAACCUGCCGAAAGGCAGACUAAUACCUUAUGGUCUUCACUGACGGCAUCAGAUGUGAAGUAAAGAUUUAUCGGUUAUGGAUGGGGAUGCGUCUGAUUAGUUAGUUGGCGGGGUAACGGCCCACCAAGGCAACGAUCAGUAGGGGUUCUGAGAGGAAGGUCCCCCACAUUGGAACUGAGACACGGUCCAAACUCCUACGGGAGGCAGCAGUGAGGAAUAUUGGUCAAUGGGCGAGAGCCUGAACCAGCCAAGUAGCGUGCAGGAUGACGGCCCUAUGGGUUGUAAACUGCUUUUGUAUGGGGAUAAAGUCAAUCACGUGUGAUUGUUUGCAGGUACCAUACGAAUAAGGACCGGCUAAUUCCGUGCCAGCAGCCGCGGUAAUACGGAAGGUCCGGGCGUUAUCCGGAUUUAUUGGGUUUAAAGGGAGCGUAGGCUGGAGAUUAAGUGUGUUGUGAAAUGUAGACGCUCAACGUCUGACUUGCAGCGCAUACUGGUUUCCUUGAGUACGCACAACGUUGGCGGAAUUCGUCGUGUAGCGGUGAAAUGCUUAGAUAUGACGAAGAACUCCGAUUGCGAAGGCAGCUGACGGGAGCGCAACUGACGCUGAAGCUCGAAGGUGCGGGUAUCGAACAGG